rnacentral:rRNA from 1 species
GAUGAACGCUGGCGGUGUGCCUUAGGCAUGCAAGUCGAACGGGAUCCAGUCUUCGGACUGGUGACAGUGGCAGACGGGUGAGUAACACGUAGGAAUCUACCCAGUAGCGGGGAAUAGCCCAUCGAAAGAUGGGGUAAUACCGCAUACGCCCGCAAGGGGAAAGUCGCAAGACACUAUUGGAGGAGCCUGCGCGCUAUCAGCUAGUUGGUGGGGUAAUGGCCUACCAAGGCUACGACGGCUAGCCGAUGUGAGAGCAUGAUCGGCCACAAGGUUACUGAGACACGGAACCUACACCUACGGGUGGCAGCAACCGGGAAUAUUGCGCAAUGGGCGAAAGCCUGACGCAGCGACACCGCGUGUGGGAAGACGCUCUUCGGAGUGUAAACCACUGUGGCGGGGGAUGAAUUUUGACAGUACCCCGCUAGAAAGCACCAGCUAACUACGUGCCAGAAGCUUCGGUAAUACGUAGGGUGCGAGCGUUAUCCGGAUUUACUGGGCGUAAAGAGUCCGUCGGCGUUUUGGUAAGUUUCUUGUCUAAGACUGGGGCUCAACUCCAGAGAGGCACGAAAAACUGCCAGAAUAGAGUCUGUUCGAGGAAACUAGAAUUCU